AACGAACGCUGGCGGCAUGCCUAACACAUGCAAGUCGAACGGGAAGCGAGACUUCGGUUUCGUGGAGAGUGGCGCACGGGUGAGUAACGCGUGGGGACCUGCCGAUGAGUACGGAAUAACGAUUGGAAACGAUCGCUAAUACCGUAUACGCCCUAAGGGGGAAAGAUUUAUCGCUCAUUGAGGGUCCCGCGUCCGAUUAGCUAGUUGGUGAGGUAGAGGCUCACCAAGGCGACGAUCGGUAGCUGGUCUGAGAGGAUGAUCAGCCACACUGGGACUGAGACACGGCCCAGACUCCUACGGGAGGCAGCAGUGGGGAAUAUUGGACAAUGGGGGCAACCCUGAUCCAGCAAUGCCGCGUGUGUGAAGAAGGCCUUAGGGUUGUAAAGCACUUUCACGGGUGACGAUGAUGACGGUAACCCGAGAAGAAGCCCCGGCUAACUCCG
rnacentral:rRNA from 1 species